rnacentral:rRNA from 1 species
UACGUAGGGUGCGAGCGUUGUCCGGAAUUAUUGGGCGUAAAGAGCUUGUAGGCGGUUUGUCGCGUCUGCUGUGAAAAUCCGGGGCUCAACCCCGGACUUGCAGUGGGUACGGGCAGACUAGAGUGUGGUAGGGGAGACUGGAAUUCCUGGUGUAGCGGUGGAAUGCGCAGAUAUCAGGAGGAACACCGAUGGCGAAGGCAGGUCUCUGGGCCGAUACUGACGCUGAGGAGCGAAAGCGUGGGGAGCGAACAGG